CUUGCUGGGUGGAUUAGUGGCGAACGGGUGAGUAACACGUGAGUAACCUGCCCCUGACUCUGGGAUAAGCGUUGGAAACGACGUCUAAUACUGGAUAUGACUGCCGGCCGCAUGGUCUGGUGGUGGAAAGAUUUUUUGGUUGGGGAUGGACUCGCGGCCUAUCAGCUUGUUGGUGAGGUAAUGGCUCACCAAGGCGACGACGGGUAGCCGGCCUGAGAGGGUGACCGGCCACACUGGGACUGAGACACGGCCCAGACUCCUACGGGAGGCAGCAGUGGGGAAUAUUGCACAAUGGGCGAAAGCCUGAUGCAGCAACGCCGCGUGAGGGAUGACGGCCUUCGGGUUGUAAACCUCUUUUAGUAGGGAAGAAGCGAAAGUGACGGUACCUGCAGAAAAAGCACCGGCUAACUACGUGCCAGCAGCCGCGGUAAUACGUAGGGUGCAAGCGUUGUCCGGAAUUAUUGGGCGUAAAGAGCUCGUAGGCGGUUUGUCGCGUCUGCUGUGAAAUCCCGAGGCUCAACCUCGGGCUUGCAGUGGGUACGGGCAGACUAGAGUGCGGUAGGGGAGAUUGGAAUUCCUGGUGUAGCGGUGGAAUGCGCAGAUAUCAGGAGGAACACCGAUGGCGAAGGCAGAUCUCUGGGCCGUAACUGACGCUGAGGAGCGAAAGCGUGGGGAGCGAACAGGAUUAGAUACCCUGGUAGUCCACGCCGUAAACGUUGGGCGCUAGAUGUAGGGACCUUUCCACGGUUUCUGUGUCGUAGCUAACGCAUUAAGCGCCCCGCCUGGGGAGUACGGCCGCAAGGCUAAAACUCAAAGGAAUUGACGGGGGCCCGCACAAGCGGCGGAGCAUGCGGAUUAAUUCGAUGCAACGCGAAGAACCUUACCAAGGCUUGACAUACACCGGAAACGGCCAGAGAUGGUCGCCCCCUUGUGGUCGGUGUACAGGUGGUGCAUGGUUGUCGUCAGCUCGUGUCGUGAGAUGUUGGGUUAAGUCCCGCAACGAGCGCAACCCUCGUUCUAUGUUGCCAGCGCGUUAUGGCGGGGACUCAUAGGAGACUGCCGGGGUCAACUCGGAGGAAGGUGGGGAUGACGUCAAAUCAUCAUGCCCCUUAUGUCUUGGGCUUCACGCAUGCUACAAUGGCCGGUACAAAGGGCUGCGAUACCGUAAGGUGGAGCGAAUCCCAAAAAGCCGGUCUCAGUUCGGAUUGAGGUCUGCAACUCGACCUCAUGAAGUCGGAGUCGCUAGUAAUCGCAGAUCAGCAACGCUGCGGUGAAUACGUUCCCGGGCCUUGUACACACCGCCCGUCAAGUCAUGAAAGUCGGUAACACCCGA
rnacentral:rRNA from 2 species